AAAGCCCUCUUUUUUAAAAAAAAGCAAAGUACCCUACAAAAAUCGUUCCAGUGUUGUGGCUCUGCUUGCACUAGCAUGGCUGAAAGGAAGGGCGGCUGUCGCAGCUGGCUGCCCCGUGAGCAGCAUCCCUGCUUCCAACCUGGUCGCUUUAAGGGCUCAGCAUUUCCAAACGCAGCCCUCGCUCCUUGUCUGUCAGGCAUUUCACUCUGCCACCGCUUAGUGGGGAGCACAAACAGGCACCGUUCAGCCCAGGCCUGUCUCUCCAUACAGCUCCAGCACGAGUUGCUUUCAGGCACGGAGAUGUUUACCUUCCUGACGUCUUUCUGAGGUAUGAUCUUGCUGCUAUUCCAAUUUACAGCUUGCUAUUCCAAUUUAUGAGCUUGCAUCAGAACCACAACACAUGGGAAUUGAACACUGUUAUGUGAUCCUGCAUCUGAUUCUAAGUGACUUACCUCACCUCACGGAGGGACCUCCUAGGAAAGCAAAGCACACCGAACCUGCACAUCCAAAACGAUAUUCCAUCCCUCCCCGCAAAAAGACUGCUUCUGUUAACUAAUUGAUUUAUAAAACCACAAAUAUGGCAAAUGACCCAGAGCACAUUCCACGCUGCAAAAUAAGGAAGCGUGCAGCCAGUCUGCUGCAAGGCGAGGACGUGGAACAGAAGCGUAAAGAUUCUUCCAGCAGAUCAGGAUCACUACAGGAACGCCUCGUACUGACAGAGUUAAAAAAAUAAUAAUAAUUAGACAUUUAAAAGGCAUCUGUCAGGUAGCUAAUUCUCAGUAAAUUAUUUGUGCCAUGGAAAGCAUCUUGGGAUUACAAGGGCUUUCCAUGUUAACACUUACACGCUGCUAUGGAUGGAUGGUACUGAAAACCCAGCUAUAAACGCUGGUGUUGAGGCUACAGGGCGCAUGCCCCACGUAUACUGCUAUGUAAUACUUUACUGCGAUAAUUAUGCUAGUUAUUAUAUUUAUGACUACAUUUCCCUGGGAGACUGGAAAUGCAACAUUCCAAGUAAAGGCUCCACAAUUAAUUUUUUUUGGGGUGGACAAAACAAAGCCAGCACAUUCUGGAUUAAGAUGACUGAGGGCACUAACCCCAAAACAACCUGCUUACAUAAAAACAAAGCAACAAGUUCAAGAUGGAUCCUAACAUAGCAAACCCAGUGCUCUAACAAUGAACCAUGAGAAAAAUUGACAAAAAAAAAAAAAAGAAAAACUUUCUUCAAAUAUUUUUCCCUUAGUUCAGAAGCCUUCUGUUUCACUGAAAGGGAUUUUUUUUUUUUUAAAUGAGAGAGAAAGAUUGCGAAAGUGUGCUGUAACAGGUUUUUUUGCUGAAUUUCAGCUCUAUGUUGAAGGAGGAUUUCUCACACGUGAAAAGGGACAGGUGUUGUACGAAACACACCGGUGUCCUGCCUGAACACUUCCAGUGUGCUGCUGCAGUCUUUCACAACCACGACUGAACUGUCCUUAGUUUACAGUAGUGGCACAGAAACUAGUGUCGAAACAUCGUAUUUUUAUAAGCAAUGCUUACAGCAGGUCAGUUUUUCCAAAAACCACAACACUGAGCUCCAGAAUACCUUCAGGUGGCGAUCCAAUUCGGUGCCCUAUUGCCUUUCUUUUUCCUUUCUGAUAUUGCUAAAGAUUAGGCCACUGGAUGUUUGAGUGUGAAGUCAAAGCUUCUGUACAUGGCACGUUUGUUUGUGUAGUGCUAUAAGAAUUAGCCCUUUCAAUGAUUAACUUUGCCUUCAAGCCAAAGAGUUUCUAAUAAGCCACCUCGGGGGGUCACCGCUCAGUGUCUAUUGCAAUGCUUCGAUUGAGAAACUUGACAUCCGAGCUGCUUUACUGUGCUCAGUCUAAACAGAGACUGCUAACUUAGAUCUUGCUGUCCCCCUUCGUUUUUGACCAUUCUUUAACCACAAACUUGAAGACGAGUUUUAUUCUAAAGCCCUCGCAUUUUUGUGCUCAUUGGACAAUUUUGUAUUUAAUUGGCUUGAGCUGCUGGGCAAGUAUCUGUUUUCUCAACCAGAAAAACAGAAAGCCAAUUGUAUUUUCAUGAAUUUGAACCAGAAUCAUUAUCAUCUUAAGACUAGAAAAGAUGUAUUAUCCCAGGAAACCCUAUGUGCUACAAGGCUUGGUUGAGAAGAGCAAGACUACCCCAAGGAAUACUCUCCUCAGCAACUUUUGCAGUAUCAGCUCUGAGCACGAACGUGAUCUGGACUCCUAUGGAAGUAUCACAGCCAGCAGCACGUGCAUUUGGAAUCUAACUCCACCAAAUAACGCAGGUUAUCAGUGACAACCAGGCAGCACAGAUGAGGUGGUUGUUCUGGAAGGGAGAUCAAACUUCCCGUGGCCCAGGCUCUUCUCCCGGUGGCUCCAGACUGCCCAGCCCACGCUCAGUGCCAGCAGCACCACCAGCAGCAGCAGGGUGCUUCGCCCUGCUCAGUACACAACACCCCAGACUUCCUUUCACAGCAUACAAGGGCAUUUUAUCAAAAGCAGUGCAAAGUACU